GUGCCAGCCGCCGCGGUAAUACGUAGGGAGCAAGCGUUGUCCGGAUUUACUGGGUGUAAAGGGUGCGUAGGCGGCACUGCAAGUCAGGCGUGAAAUAUAUGGGCUUAACCCAUAGACUGCGUUUGAAACUGUGGUGCUUGAGUGAAGUAGAGGUAGGCGGAAUUCCCGGUGUAGCGGUGAAAUGCGUAGAGAUCGGGAGGAACACCAGUGGCGAAGGCGGCUUACU
rnacentral:rRNA from 1 species